UACGGAGGGGGCUAGCGUUGUUCGGAAUUACUGGGCGUAAAGCGCACGUAGGCGGCUUUGUAAGUUAGAGGUGAAAGCCCGGGGCUCAACUCCGGAAUUGCCUUUUAAGACUGCAUCGCUAGAAUUGUGGAGAGGUAAGUGGAAUUCCGAGUGUAGAGGUGAAAUUCGUAGAUAUUCGCAAGAACACCAGUCGGCGAAGGCGGCUCACUGGCCCGAUACUGACGCUGAGGUGCGAAAGC
rnacentral:rRNA from 1 species